UAUAAAAAAUAAGGUAGUACAAAUUUUUAAUAAAAACCAAUAUAAUUUGGCGGCAUUUAAUUUUAUUAGAGGAACUUGUUUAUUAAUCGUCACACCACGUUAUUUUUCACUUUGAAACAAAUUUUAUAUACCGCCAUCUCAGAAUUAACUUAAAAGCCAAACUCAAGCUAUAUUUUAUUGAAAUAUAGGUAAAGGUGUAAACAAUAUUAAAGAUUAAAUGUGUUACAAUAAAAAAAAUUUAAGAAUAAUUUUAAAAAAUUAUAAUUUGAAAAAGGAUUUAUAAGUAAAUUUUUAAUAAUAAUAAAAAUUGAAUAAAACUAAGAAUGUGU
rnacentral:rRNA from 1 species